rnacentral:rRNA from 1 species
AGAUUGAACGCUGGCGGCAGGCCUAACACAUGCAAGUCGAGCGGUAGAGAGGUGCUUGCACCUCUUGAGAGCGGCGGACGGGUGAGUAAUGCCUAGGAAUCUGCCUAGUGGUGGGGGAUAACGUUCGGAAACGGACGCUAAUACCGCAUACGUCCUACGGGAGAAAGCGGGGGACCUUCGGGCCUCGCGCCAUUAGAUGAGCCUAGGUCGGAUUAGCUAGUUGGUGAGGUAAUGGCUCACCAAGGCGACGAUCCGUAACUGGUACUGAGAGGAUGAUCAGUCACACUGGAACUGAGACACGGUCCAGACUCCGUACGGGAGCAGCAGUGGGGAAUA